GGCUUGUGUCAUGGUGCAGAUUUGACAGUCUGAAUUGAAUCCUUGAGUCCCACCAAGUCGCAGGAGAGAGUAGACGUCCAGCGUUGGCUCUCUGACUGCUGCACAUGCACAUGUGCUGACAGGUAGACACACACAGGACAUAAACUUUUCAGUGUGGAAACGAACCGUAAAGUUUACUUGGCAUAGUAUUAUUUCAUCAGGAUACAUCUAUUUAUUUUUGUAGGACACUAAAGGACUCAGCAAAAAGAGAAAGAUGUAUGAGGAUAAACCUUUGUCAUCUGAGUCAUUGUCAGAGUCAGACUGUGGAGAGGUGCAAGCGAAAAAGAAGAAAAGCGGUGAAGAGCGAGAGAGAACAACAGACAAAGCUAAAAAGAGAAGGAAGCAUAAGAAACACAGCAAGAAGAAGAAAAAGAAGGCUGCCAGUUCAAGCUCAGACUCGCCGUAGCAUCCAGAAGACCAGGGUCCUUACAGAGUGCAAUGUCAAAGGAGCUCUCAACUGUGAAGAUUAUGACUUACUUAGUAACGUGCAUGAAUCCCCUUGUUUUUAGACUUGUCCUGGACUAGUCAGUAGUCACUUGGAUUCCGCUGUGUGAAGGGCCAUGAAUGUUGCCUGCUGCUUGAACACCUUUUCCUCUUCCAGUGCUUGGUGACUCUGGGAGAUAGUACUUUGCAGUCAUACUAGUGGUUAAGAUAUUUGGAAUAAAGCUAAUAUUUUUUACUAGAAGUACUUAAGAAUAAAUCAACAGGAACUGAAUCUGGAUCCAUCUUUUAAGAUGUAACCAGAAAUAACGAGAUGACUCUAGUAAAGAUUUUC
rnacentral:lncRNA from 1 species